AGGACGAACGCUGGCGGCGUGCUUAACACAUGCAAGUCGAGCGGAAAGGCCCUUCGGGGUACUCGAGCGGCGAACGGGUGAGUAACACGUGAGCAAUCUGCCCUUAGCUUCGGGAUAGCCCCGGGAAACCGGGAUUAAUACCGAAUACGACCUCGGCCGACAUCGGCCUUGGUGGAAAGUUUUUCGGCUAGGGAUGAACUCGCGGCCUAUCAGCUUGUUGGUGGGGUAAUAGCCUACCAAGGCGACGACGGGUAGCCGGCCUGAGAGGGCGACCGGCCACACUGGGACUGAGACACGGCCCAGACUCCUACGGGAGGCAGCAGUGGGGAAUAUUGCGCAAUGGGCGAAAGCCUGACGCAGCGACGCCGCGUGGGGGAUGAAGGCCUCGGGUUGUAACCCCUUUCAGCAGGGACGAAGCGAGAGUGACGGUACCUGCAGAAGAAGCGCCGGCUAACUACGCGCCAGCAGCCGC
rnacentral:rRNA from 1 species